rnacentral:rRNA from 1 species
AUGAACGCUGGCGGCGUGCCUAAUACAUGCAAGUCGCGCGAACGGACGAGAAGCUUGCUUCUCUGAUGUUAGCGGCGGACGGGUGAGUAACACGUGGAUAACCUACCUAUAAGACUGGGACAACUUCGGGAAACCGGAGCUAAUACCGGAUAAUAUUUUGAACCGCAUGGUUCAAAAGUGAAAGACGGUCUUGCUGUCACUUAUAGAUGGAUCCGCGCUGCAUUAGCUAGUUGGUAAGGUAACGGCUUACCAAGGCAACGAUGCAUAGCCGACCUGAGAGGGUGAUCGGCCACACUGGAACUGAGACACGGUCCAGACUCCUACGGGAGGCAGCAGUAGGGAAUCUUCCGCAAUGGGCGAAAGCCUGACGGAGCAACGCCGCGUGAGUGAUGAAGGUCUUCGGAUCGUAAAACUCUGUUAUUAGGGAAGAACAUAUGUGUAAGUAACUGUGCACAUCUUGACGGUACCUAAUCAGAAAGCCACGGCUAACUACGUG